rnacentral:lncRNA from 1 species
GUGGUGAAGGUCCUGGCCUUCUGGUAGAAGAGGAUAAACUUCUCACGGUCCAGGAGGAAGUUGUGGGAGAUGGUGGCCGGCCACGUGUAGGUCUUCAGCUGUGCCCUUCUUGUUGCCCAGGUCCAUGGCGGCUGCCAGGGCCAGCUGGUAGUACCCGGCUGCAUCAAACGGGUCCUGAAGGGGACAGGCCAUGCUCAGCAAAAGGGGGACUCGGAGCCCGUCUUCCCAGAGGCCGUUCCUGUCUCCAGGUCAUUCCACAUGUCCAGCCAAUGCUGGCUCACCCCAUGAGCCCCGAAGCCUGUGACACUGCUGUGGUCUCAGCUGCAGGAGCCUUCCAGGCCCCAUCCAGCCCGGCUUUUUCUCCCACUCCUCUGGGCCCUGGGUCCAGGGUCUCCUAUACAAGGAGGAGGGUGUAGCCUUGGAAAGACAGCCGCCCUUGGGGAAUUCUGAGGGGGCCUCCCUGUGGGAAGCUGGCCUGCGCUGACAGCAUAGUCACGAUGAGGCCCAGAGGGCUGUGCAUGGGAAGGAGGUGAAGGAGGCCUCUGCCCUCGACCCCAACCGUGGACUUUGGCCUUUCAGGUACUACUUGGCCCUUUCCUUUCUCCUGGACAGGGGGAGUGGGCGGCAGGCUUGACCAAGUGAGAUAAAGGCCUCUUCUGGGAGGUCGGUCCCCUUGGGUCCCAGGAGAGACCCUGGGCAGUGAGCAGUGUCCCUCUGGGUCUGACACUUGGCACCUCCCUGUCUGGCUGGGACUUGGGAGGCCACAGGGACCACUUCUGAUCACCAGGUGUCGCCAGCACUGGGCAAGGGCCUCCCGGGCAGCCCCAAGCCUGUGGUGGGGGAUACGGGCAGGGUCUUAGGGCUGCCCCAGCUCCUCAUGUUGUUCUAAGGCCCCCAAGAUUUUGGCCCCUGGACUGGAGUGCCCUGGCCUCUCAGCCCCUAAGGAGCACUGACGAGGUGCCAGUGCGAUGCUGAGGAGGGGUCGUGCCUGCUGGGCAGAGGGGUGGAGACACCCCAGGUCUGAGUCUGCCAGUCCCAGCUCUCUACCCCUGCAGGGCUGGGGGCAGAGGGAGCACAACACCUCCCCUCAAGACAGACCCGACCCAG